AAGGCAGGACCAUCAACCAUCUAGCAAUUCUUCAUUCCAGAGUCCAAAGAAGGUCAACUUGGUUGCUGCUCUGGUUCGUGGUAUGCUUGUUAAAGAUGCAUUGAUGCAGUUGGAAUUGACAAUAAAACGAGCAGCAAAAACUGUAUAUCAGCAAGCUGCGGGAUACAAUCAAAUCUUUUGGCUGUGUGCAGGGAAUUCUGAUCUCAAAUUGUCCACGGCUAUGCAGCGAAAUUCUUGACAAGUUGAACCACCCUUUUCUACUUGCAUUAUCUAUAUGCUUCC